GAGCGAGGUAGCAAUACCUAGCGGCGGACGGGUGAGUAACGCGUGGGAACGUGCCCCUUGGUACGGAAUAGCCCCGGGAAACUGGGAGUAAUACCGUAUGAGCUCUACGGAGGAAAGAUUUAUCGCCAAGGGAUCGGCCCGCGUUGGAUUAGGUAGUUGGUGGGGUAAUGGCCUACCAAGCCGACGAUCCAUAGCUGGUUUGAGAGGAUGAUCAGCCACACUGGGACUGAGACACGGCCCAGACUCCUACGGGAGGCAGCAGUGGGGAAUCUUAGACAAUGGGCGCAAGCCUGAUCUAGCCAUGCCGCGUGAGCGAUGAAGGCCUUAGGGUUGUAAAGCUCUUUCAGCUGGGAAGAUAAUGACUGUACCAGCAGAAGAAGCCCUGGCUAACUCCGUGCCAGCAGCCGCGGUAAUACGGAGGGGGCUAGCGUUGUUCGGAAUUACUGGGCGUAAAGCGCACGUAGGCGGACUGGAAAGUCAGGGGUGAAAUCCCGGGGCUCAACCCCGGAACUGCCUUUGAAACUCCCAGUCUUGAGGUCGAGAGAGGUGAGUGGAAUUCCGAGUGUAGAGGUGAAAUUCGUAGAUAUUCGGAGGAACACCAGUGGCGAAGGCGGCUCACUGGCUCGAUACUGACGCUG
rnacentral:rRNA from 1 species